rnacentral:rRNA from 1 species
GACGAACGCUGGCGGCGUGCCUAAUACAUGCAAGUCGAGCGAAUCGAUGGGAGCUUGCUCCCUGAGAUUAGCGGCGGACGGGUGAGUAACACGUGGGCAACCUGCCUAUAAGACUGGGAUAACUUCGGGAAACCGGAGCUAAUACCGGAUACGUUCUUUUCUCGCAUGAGAGAAGAUGGAAAGACGGUUUACGCUGUCACUUAUAGAUGGGCCCGCGGCGCAUUAGCUAGUUGGUGAGGUAAUGGCUCACCAAGGCGACGAUGCGUAGCCGACCUGAGAGGGUGAUCGGCCACACUGGGACUGAGACACGGCCCAGACUCCUACGGGAGGCAGCAGUAGGGAAUCUUCCGCAAUGGACGAAAGUCUGACGGAGCAACGCCGCGUGAACGAAGAAGGCCUUCGGGUCGUAAAGUUCUGUUGUUAGGGAAGAACAAGUACCAGAGUAACUGCUGGUACCUUGACGGACC